GAUAAGCGCUGAAAGCAUCUAAGCGCGAAGCAGGCCUCGAGAUGAGUUCUCACUAGACUUUUAAAGUCUCUGAAGGGCCGUUGAAGACUACAACGUUGAUAGGCAAGAUGUGGAAGCAUAGUGAUAUGUUAAGCUAACUUGUACUAAUUACCCGUGAGGCUUAACCAU
rnacentral:rRNA from 1 species